CCUACGGGAGGCAGCAGUGAGGAAUAUUGGUCAAUGGGCUUACGCCUGAACCAGCCAAGUCGCGUGAGGGAAGACUGCCCUAUGGGUUGUAAACCUCUUUUGUCAGGGAGCAAUUGGCGCUACGUGUAGCGUCAUCGUGCGUACCUGAAGAAAAAGCAUCGGCCAACUCCGUGCCAGCAACCGCGGUAAUACGGAGGGUGCGAGCGUUAUUCGGUUUGAUUGGGUUAAAGGGGUGCGUAGGCGGAAUGCCAAGUCAGCGGUAAAAUCGCGGGGCUCAACCUCGCUCCGCCGUUGAAACUGGCGUUCUUGAGUGGGCGAGAAGUAUGCGGAAUGCGUGGUGUAGCGGUGAAAUGCAUAGAUAUCACGCAGAACUCCGGUUGCGAAGGCAGCAUACCGGCGCCCAACUGACGCUGAAGUACGAAAGCGUGGGUAUCGAACAGGAUUAGAUACCCCGGUAGUC
rnacentral:rRNA from 1 species